rnacentral:rRNA from 1 species
GGGCGUAAAGAGUUGCGUAGGUGGCAUUGUAAGUUGAUAGUGAAAGCGUCCGGCUCAACCGGAUACACAUUAUCAAAACUGCAAAGCUAGAGGACAAGAGAGGUCACUGGAAUUCCUAGUGUAGGAGUGAAAUCCGUAGAUAUUAGGAGGAACACCGAUGGCGUAGGCAGGUGACUGGCUUGUUCCUGACACUAAGGCACGAAAGCGUGGGUAGCAAACGGGAUUAGAUACCCCGGUAGUCCACGCCGUAAACGAUGGAUGCUAGCUGUAUUCGGUAUCGACCCCGGAUGUAGCGAAGCUAACGCGUUAAGCAUCCCGCCUGUGGAGUACGGUCGCAAGACUAAAACAUAAAGGAAUUGACGGGGACCCGCACAAGCGGUGGAGCGUGUUGUUUAAUUCGAUGGUAAGCGAAGAACCUUACCCAGGCUUGACAUCCUUGGAAGCUUUUCGAAAGAAAAGUGUGCUUUUAGAGCCAAGUGACAGGUGAUGCAUGGCCGUCGUCAGCUCGUGUCGUGAGAUGUUUGGUUAAGUCCAUCAACGAGCGCAACCCUUGUGAGUAGUUGAAUUUUUCUACUCAGACUGCCCUGGCAACAGGGAGGAAGGAGGGGAUGAUGUCAGGUCAGUAUU